GACGGAGGAUGCAAGCGUUAUCCGGAAUGAUUGGGCGUAAAGCGUCCGCAGGUGGCAGUUCAAGUCUGCUGUCAAAGACCGGGGCUUAACUUCGGAAAGGCAGUGGAAACUGAACAGCUAGAGUAUGGUAGGGGCAGAGGGAAUUCCUGGUGUAGCGGUGAAAUGCGUAGAGAUCAGGAAGAACAUCGGUGGCGAAGGCGCUCUGCUGGACCAUAACUGACACUCAGGGACGAAAGCUAGGGGAGCGAAUGGGAUAG
rnacentral:rRNA from 1 species